AGUAAAAAAGCCUUGGAUCCAGUUGCUCCAGUUUAUAAGUACUGCCUUGUAUCAGUAUCUAACAUAUUAACUUCAACAUGCCAAAAUGAGGUUUCUGCCAGUUUAGUCAUGGUGCAUUUGAUUGAGAAAUUAGCUGCUGGUGAUACUGGAAGUUUAUCUGUAUCAAUACUUCAGAAGAUGAGCACCAUGUCUAAAAAGCUUAAAAGUCAUCCUGCUUUCUCUGAAUUGUUAGCCCAAUAUUCACAGAGCGGUUAUAGGUAUUAAAUUCAUUUUUGUUGUAAAUCAAAGCAUAUUGAUUCACGAUACCAUUAUUGAACUUCUGAAAAAGCUUUGGAGCUUAUUUGUUUAAUGGUCAUUAACUACAUGAGGUGUUCCUCUUAUUUAGUAUUUUAAUUUAUAUUAGACUGAGCAUAAACUUCUUAGUUGCAUGAGUGAUCUUUUUGAAAGUUUUUUUAAGUUAUGAUAGGUUUCUUACAUUU